rnacentral:rRNA from 1 species
GAUGAACGCUGGCGGCGUGCCUAAUACAUGCAAGUAGAACGCUGAAGGAGGAGCUUGCUCUUCUGGAUGAUUUGCGAACGGGUGAGUAACGCGUAGGUAACCUGCCUGGUAGCGGGGGAUAACUAUUGGAAACGAUAGCUAAUACCGCAUGACAACAGUUAUUGCAUGAUAACUGUUUAAAAGGGGCAACUGCUCCACUACCAGAUGGACCUGCGUUGUAUUAGCUAGUUGGUGAGGUAACGGCUCACCACGGGGACGAUACAUAGCCGACCUGGGAGGGUGAUCGGCCCCACUGGGACCGGGACACGGCCCAGACUCCUAAGGGAGGCAGCAGUAGGGAAGCGUCGGCAAAGGACGGAAGGCUGACCGGGCAACGCCGGGGGAGUGAAGAAGGGUUUCGGGUCGUAAAGAUCUGUUGAAAGGGAAGAAAGAGAUUGAGAGUGGAAAGUUCACACUGUGACGGUAUCUUACCAGAAAGGGACGGCUAACUACGUG